CGGACGGGUGAGUAACGCGUGAGAAUUCGCCUUUAGGAGGGGGAUAACGGAUGGAAACAUUCGCUAAAACCCCAUAUGCCCCUGGGUGAAACAGAGGAGAUAAGUAAUACUGACUCACCUCUGCCUGAAGAGAAGCUCGCGGCUGAUUAGCUAGUUGGUAGGGUAAAGGCCUACCAAGGCGACGAUCAGUAGCUGGUCUGAGAGGACGAUCAGCCACACUGGAACUGAGACACGGUCCAGACUCCUACGGGAGGCAGCAGUGAGGAAUUUUCUGCAAUGGGCGAAAGCCUGACAGAGCAAUACCGCGUGAGGGAUGAAGACUUACUGAGUUGUAAACCUCGGUACCUUAAGGAAGAAGAUCUGACGGUACUUAAGGUGGAAAGCAUCGGCUAACUCCGUGCCAGCAGCCGCGGUAAGACGGGGGAUGCAAGUGUUAUCCGGAUUUACUGGGCGUAAAGCGUCUGCAGGUGGUUUCUUAAGUCUACUGUUAAAUCUUGAGGCUCAACCUCAAAUCUGCAGUAGAAACUAGGAGACUUGAGUAUAGUAGGGGUAGAGGGAAUUUCCAGUGGAGCGGUGAAAUGCGUAGAUAUUGGAAAGAACACCGAUGGCGAAGGCACUCUACUGGGCUAUUACUGACACUCAGAGACGAAAGCUAGGGGAGCAAAAGGGAUUAGAUACCCCAGUAGUC
rnacentral:rRNA from 1 species